GAGUUUGAUCUUGGCUCAGGAUGAACGCUGGCGGCGUGCCUAAUACAUGCAAGUCGAACGAACAGAUAAGGAGCUUGCUCCUUUGACGUUAGCGGCGGACGGGUGAGUAACGCGUGGGUAACCUACCUAUAAGACUGGAAUAACUCCGGGAAACCGGGGCUAAUGCCGGAUAACAUGUUGAACCGCAUGGUUCUACAGUGAAAGACGGUCUUGCUGUCACUUAUAGAUGGACCCGCGCCGUAUUAGCUAGUUGGUGGGUAACGGCCUACCAAGGCGACGAUACGUAGCCGACCUGAGAGGGUGAUCGGCCACACUGGAACUGAGACACGGUCCAGACUCCUACGGGAGGCAGCAGUAGGGAAUCUUCCGCAAUGGGCGAAAGCCUGACGGAGCAACGCCGCGUGAGUGAUGAAGGUCUUCGGAUCGUAAAGCUCUGUUGUUAGGGAAGAACAAAUGUGUAAGAACUGUGCAUAUCUUGACGGUACCUAACCAGAAAGCCACGGCUAACUACGUGCCAGCG
rnacentral:rRNA from 1 species